GUCUACGACCAUGCCACUCUGAACAAGCCCGAUGUCUGAUCUCAGAAGCUAAGCAAGGUCGGGCCUGCUUAGUACUUGGAUGAGAGACUAUCUAGGAAGACCAGGUGCUGUAAGCA
rnacentral:rRNA from 1 species